rnacentral:rRNA from 1 species
AGUCGAGGGGCAGCGGGAAGGUUAGCUUGCUAAUCUUUGCCGGCGACCGGCGCACGGGUGAGUAACACGUAUGCAACCUGUCCGGUACAGGGGGAUAAGCGGCGGAAACGCCGUCUAAUACCGCGUGACAACCCGAGGGGGCAUCCCCUUGGGUUCAAAGGAGAGAUCCGGUACCGGCUGGGCAUGCGGCGCAUUAGCUAGUUGGCGGGGCAACGGCCCACCAAGGCGACGAUGCGUAGGGGUUCUGAGAGGAAGGUCCCCCACACUGGAACUGAGACACGGUCCAGACUCCUACGGGAGGCAGCAGUGAGGAAUAUUGGUCAAUGGGCGCAAGCCUGAACCAGCCAAGUCCCGUGAGGGAAGACGGCCCUACGGGUUGUAAACCUCUUUUGCCGGGGAGCAAGCCUGAGCACGUGUGCCCAGGCGGAGAGUACCCGGAGAAAAAGCAUCGGCUAACUCCGUGCCAGCAGCCGCGGUAAUACGGAGGAUGCGAGCGUUAUCCGGAUUUAUUGGGUUUAAAGGGUGCGCAGGCGGGCUGUUAAGCCGGCGGUAAAAAUUCAGGGCUCAACCCUGUCGAGCCGUCGGAACUGGCAGUCUUGAGUGGGCGAGAAGUAUGCGGAAUGCGUGGUGUAGCGGUGAAAUGCAUAGAUAUCAGGAAGAACGCCGAUUGCGAAGGCAGCAUACCGGCGCCCAACUGACGCUGAGGCACGAAAGCGUGGGGA